AUGGUUCAAGGGGCUAGGCUCACCUGGUGUUGUGGUUUGGAGGUGCAGCAGCCUGUGAUCCCUCCACUGUCAAGAGUAGGAAGUGUUCGCUGCUCUGUGAAACCAGCCUCACGCUAUACCCUCCUGUCUAAGAGACACAAGACCAGUGCCUUCGCACAAGUCCCAUGGGUCAACUCGCAACUUGGAGCGGGCAGGCCAGCAUGGUGCAACAACCAGACCAACCAGUUAAGCCUUAGCCAUGUUCCAUCUCCUUGA